AGGGUGAGAGAAAAGAAAUAUUUUAGAUUUUCACAAAGAAAAAAAAAGACAAUAGACACACAUAGUAUUAAAAACAUUAGAAACAACAGCAGAGCUUAAAAAAUCUUUCUUUAAAUAUUUAAAGUUAUAAUUUUAAUUAUUUAACCAUUGCUCGCUAAUUUGUUUUUUAAGUUGGGAUGAAGAAAUGCUCAGAGAGGAACAAUCUAAGGGCAUCCAAAAAUACAUACAUUAGUAAAUCAAAACCUAAUUAGUUAAGUGGUGGAGGCUACUUAAUGAAACAAGGCUCAUGCCAUAACCUCUUGACCUAAUUCUGUGUACACUUGUACUCUGUUAAAGUACUGACACACAAAACGAACCAAGAACAGAGUUUUUGUUUAAAGUGAUUUACUAGAUACUGGAUGAGAAGACAUACAUUGGAGGGUGUUAUAAAACAUGCAUGUUUAUUACCGUGGCUAUCACUGUGUGGCUGUGCUUUUGAUCAUGCAAUUGAUUCAAAAUGAAAUAGAUAGAAGAAACACACACCAGAAAAUAUACAACUAAAACCAGCACCAGAAAAUAUGAGACUGUCUCCCUCCUAAUAACAUUAAAAGUAAGUAAUAAUCUGAAGAGAUUCAUGGUAGAAAGAAUUUAUGGCUUACGAGGAUGGUACAAUGAGCAAAUGCUACAAUCGUGCCAGAGCAUGUCAAGUAUUCAAUAUAAGAUGUCCUAAAUCCUAAAUAAAUUUCCAGCCUCCACCUGAGAUCCCUUAUACUGAUUUCCAUGUGUUUUACCAAACAAUCAACACUUUAUCACUAGUAUAGGCAUUUGUUUAAUUCAUUAAUUUAAAAUUUAAACAAAUUAAAGUUGUGUUUCCAAAAAAAAAAAAAA
rnacentral:sRNA from 1 species